UUAAAUAUUUUGAUUUCUCAGACUACAUGAAAACAAGAGUAUGUAUACACUCUGGCAAGGCCUGCAAUAUGGCAUUACUUGCCAAAGCAACCAGGUAAAAUAAUCAGGGUGGGAGAUAUACCCAAAGGGCAAAGUCUCUCUAAUGAUCCUUCCGCAGGUUCACCUACGGAAA
rnacentral:misc_RNA from 1 species